AACGUAGGAGACAAACGUUAUCCGGAGUUACUGGGCGUAAAGCGCGUGUAGGCGGCCCUGCAAGUCGGGUGUGAAAUCCCACGGCUCAACCGUGGAAGUGCACUCGAAACUGCAGGGCUAGAGUCCUGGAGAGGAAGGUGGAAUGCUUGGUGUAGAGGUGAAAUUCGUAGAUAUCAAGCGGAACACCGGUGGCGAAGGCGGCCUUCUGGACAGUGACUGACGCUGAGACGCGAAAGCGUGGGGAGCAAACAGG
rnacentral:rRNA from 1 species